GACCAAAGCCCUGAUUCAAGACAAACAUGAGGAAAAGCAACAUAUUGCCACGCUACAAGAGAAAAUCCAGACCAUAUCUCGGAGAGCCUCUGCUGCUGAGCAUACUCUGGUCAUGGAGAAGAAUGAGGCAGCGCUACUCCGCCAGAGGAUAUUUCAACUAACCUCAAAGAAGCUGAAAAUAGGAAAACCUGGGGUUCCUGAUCAAGACCAUCCCCAAGCCCCCAAAAACAACCAAGACCAACAAACCCUUCUUGAAAACCUGCAAAGUUCUGAAAGCCUUCAAAGCACUAAUGAAGUUAUGAAGGCAAUGCAUACAAUUGUACAUUUGGUGCAAUUAUUCUCAGGACACGGGGUGAAGCAGAGUACAAUAAAUAAAUCCAGAUGCCUUAUUCCAUC